UUUCGGGGGUACACGAGUGGCGAACGGGUGAGUAACACGUGGGUAAUCUGCCCUGCACUUCGGGAUAAGCCUGGGAAACCGGGUCUAAUACCGGAUAUGAGCUCCUGCCGCAUGGUGGGGGUUGGAAAGUUUUUCGGUGCAGGAUGAGUCCGCGGCCUAUCAGCUUGUUGGUGGGGUAAUGGCCUACCAAGGCGACGACGGGUAGCCGGCCUGAGAGGGUGAUCGGCCACACUGGGACUGAGACACGGCCCAGACUCCUACGGGAGGCAGCAGUGGGGAAUAUUGCACAAUGGGCGAAAGCCUGAUGCAGCGACGCCGCGUGGGGGAUGACGGUCUUCGGAUUGUAAACUCCUUUCAGUAGGGACGAAGCGAAAGUGACGGUACCUGCAGAAGAAGCACCGGCCAACUACGUGCCAGCAGCCGCGGUAAUACG
rnacentral:rRNA from 1 species